CGACCACGGUAGGGUCAGCGACUGGGGUGAAGUCGUAACAAGGUAGCCGUAGGGGAACCUGCGGCUGGAUCACCUCCUUU
rnacentral:rRNA from 1 species